CUGUCUGUCCGCCAGCCGGGGAGGAGCGCUCCGGCCGCCGCUGACAAAGGAUGGGAGGAUGCCUGCACCCCGGGAUUCGGGCUGCGCGAAGCCCGGCGGUCGCCUGAGCGGCUUCGUUUCCCUCCGCUGCUGGACAGACGUCCUGAACCACAGCAUCUCUGGCCAUGGGACAUUUACACCUCCUCUUUGCUCUGCUUCUUGGUUCGCUCUACAUGAACGGACUUAUAUCUGGGAUUUGUAUAUUCAGCAAGUAUUUACUGAGUGUGAUAAAGAAGGAGUGGAGCUGCAGGGAUAGUGCAGAUUCUGGAACAACCUCCACCCCCAAGUCAGAGUUAAGAUGAAGAAGGAAGGACUCGAGGCUUCCAGAACUUAGACUAGCUGUCAAGCAGGAAGCAGUGGAAUCUACACUGAAACCCAGAUCCAGGCUCUCCAUUCCAUGAUCCAUUGCUACAAGGAAAUGUACCCAGGAAGAGUUUUGAGAGUAUCUUCCUAAUUGUCCUGCUGGGAUUAAACAGGACACCACUGUUUUUCGUGGAAAUUCCAGAGAUUGAACUCAUGCCACAGCAGUGACCUGAGCCACUGCAGGAACAACACUGGAUCCCUAACCUGCUGGGCCACAAAGGAACUCCUAAUCUCUCAUGUUAGAAGACUGAUGCUGGUUGCCAUUUAGAAGUGGGAGGGCAAGGGGAGGAGGUAAGGGUAUGAGUUGAAACAGUUCUUGGCAAACUGAAACAUGCUGUGACCACAUGGAGUGUCAUUAACGUGAAGAGUCUCCUUCAGGGUCCAGCAAGGCUGUGGCUUUGCAUGUCCUACUAUCUCCCAAGCCAGACCGAUGCUGCCUGCUGGCCCAUGGACCAUGUUUGGAGUAGCAAGAAGUUAGCUGGCUGUUUCAGUAACUGAGGCAAUAGAUCAGAUCAUGGUGGCCUAUAUCAGAGUAGGGCCCUGGAAGUGUGUGGAGUCUGAUGUUUUGAGGUAAAGCUCACAAGACUACAUGCAGACUGGCUGAUAUCCCCAGGACCUUGGUCUCUACUGGAGGGAUGGAAGUGCUGUCACCAAGGUUACGGUCAGAGCAGGAGUUGGAGGGGAGAUAAAGUCAGAGUUUUCUUUUUGACAUAUACAAUUUGGGAUGCCUCACAGGCAUCAGGUGGAAAUAUUAAGUAGCAUUUGAAAAUGUACCUGCAGAAUAUAUCUGGAGGAAACUCGAAAAUGAAAGAUACAUGCAUCGCUAUGUCCACUACAGCACUAUUUACAAUAACAAAGACAAGUAACAAAGACAUGGAAGCAGCCUAAAUAUAUACAAUGUGGAAUAGUACUCAGCAAUAAAAAUGAAUGAAACAAUGCCAUUUGCAGCAACAUGGGUGGACCUAGAGAUUAUCAUGAGUGAAGUUAGUCAGAAAGAGAAAGACAAAUAUUGUAUGAUAUCACUUAUAUGUGGAAUCUAAAAUGUAACACAAAUGAACUUAUUUUCAAAACAGAAGCAAACUCACAAAUAUAGAGAAUAGACUUGUGAUUGCCAAGGGGAAGUGGGGAGGGAGGGGGAUAGACAGGGAAUUUGGGAUUAGCAGAUGCAAAUUAUUAUAUAUAGAAUGGAUAAAUAAGAAGGUCCUACUAUAUAGCACAGUGAACUAUUUGCAAUAUCCUUUGAAACCAUAGUAGAAAAGAAUACAAAAAAUUGUGUAUAUUAUACACUUAACUGAAUUACUUUUCUGUACAGCAGUUAAUAAGACAACAUGGUAAAUAAACUAUACUUCAGUAAAAUUAUUUUUUAAUAUUACUCAAUGAAUUUAUUACAUUUAUGGUUGUACAAUGAUCAUCACAACACAAUUUUAUAGCAUUUCCAUCCCAAACCCCAAAUAUACAUCCAGAAUUCAGGGAAGAGGCCUAAGACAGACACCUGCAUUGGUUACUCUAUCAUGCCAUAAAUAUGUGCCUCUCUUAAAAGAUGCAAGAAGGGGAUUAGAGUAUGGCAUGUUCAAAGUGAGGUAUAUGGAAUGACUGGCCAGUGGAGAACUGCUGUAUAGCACAGGAAACUCUGCUCAAUAUUCUGUGAUAAUCUAUAUGGGAAAAUAAUCUGAAAGAGAAUGGAUGUGUGUCAUGUAUAACUGAAUCACUUUGUUGUGCAGCAGAAAUCAUAACAACAUUGUAAGUCAACUGCAAUAAAACUUUAAAAAAUUUAAAAAACAAUGCAAGGAAACAGAAGCAAUAAAAAUAUAAUUGAAUUAUGUUUCUCAAAUGUGUGUGUGUGUGUGUGUGUGUGUGUGUGUGCACGCGCGCAUGCGCACACAUGCUCAUUUGUGUUGUACAUGUGACAAGAAUGAGAUGGUAUAAUUUCCUUUCUGGGAGCUAAAUUGCUAUGUUUUAAUUCAUCGGUUUGUAAGGAAAAUAACUGAGAUAACUUUUGGUGAUAUUUUCUGUUCAUUGCAUUCAGAAAAACGGUUGAACAGAUAUGGCCAAGGGUAUAUUCUUCCGUGUUUCAUACACAAAUGACUGUGGUCAACAGAGGUUAUAACAUUAUGUUUGUGUUAGAGACCAUGGAUUUAGUCACAGCUCUCAUCCUUAAUAGCUGAGUAAAUCUGGUCAAGUUAAUUAGCAUAUCUGGUCCUCAGUAUCAACAUUUGUGAAAAAUGGAUUAAAACACUUGUUCCCCAUGAUUGUUGGGAAGAAUAAACCUGACAGCGUUUUUAACUAAUGACUGUGUUUUUACUAAUAUUUACUAAGUUAGGCUCUUACAUCUAUUAAUUCAUGUUUAGCAUAUUUAUUCCCUAGAUUAGAAAAUUUUAUGAGAUAAUGACACAAAAGUUGAUUUUUUGGUGCUUUCCCCCCAAAAUAAGAAGUAAAGUUAUAUAAAAUCUUUUAUGAAGGCAGCUAAAACAUGGUAAUAUUUAACAUAUUUAAGGGAAAAAAAA
rnacentral:lncRNA from 1 species